rnacentral:rRNA from 1 species
UACAGAGGUGGCAAGCGUUGUUCGGAAUUACUGGGCGUAAAGGGCGCGUAGGCGGCCAUCUAAGUCAGACGUGAAAUCCCCCGGCUUAACCCUGGGAACUGCGUCUGAUACUGGACGGCUUGAGUAUGGGAGAGGGAUGUAGAAUUCCAGGUGUAGCGGUGAAAUGCGUAGAUAUCUGGAGGAAUACCGGUGGCGAAGGCGGCAUCCUGGACCGGCAUUGACGCUGAGGAGCGAAAGCUAGGGGAGCAAACGGGG